UACGUAGGUGGCAAGCGUUGUCCGGAUUUACUGGGCGUAAAGAGCGCGCAGGCGGUCGUUCAAGUCGCGUGUGAAAGCCCCCGGCUCAACUGGGGAGGGUCACGCGAUACUGAUCGACUCGAAGGCAGGAGAGGGUAGUGGAAUUCCCGGUGUAGUGGUGAAAUGCGUAGAUAUCGGGAGGAACACCAGUGGCGAAGGCGACUACCUGGCCUGUUCUUGACGCUGAGGCGCGAAAGCUGAAGGGGAGCAAACGGGG
rnacentral:rRNA from 1 species